rnacentral:rRNA from 1 species
AUAACCGCUGAAAGCAUCUAAGCGGGAAGCGAGUCCUAAGAUGAGUCAUCCCUAGGAAUUUAAUUCCUCUAAAGAGCCGUUCGAGACUAGGACGUUGAUAGGCAGGGUGUGUAAGCGUUGUGAGGCGUUGAGCUAACCUGUACUAAUGACUCGUGAGGCUUAACCAUACAACCCAGAUGAGUUU